GUCAUGGGGGGCAUUUCAGAGUGAAUCGUCUAUUGAUGACUCUGCCUAUUUAUACCUUAAAAGAAACUACCUCUGUUGCCUUACCUAAUUACUGAACUACGUGCGAAUUACUACUACGGCGGCGACUACUACAAUAAAUGACUAUACGCUGUACUUUGAAUAAUAAAAGAAAUUUAUUAAAA